UCCAAGGUGCGUAACAGUAAUCGAGGA
rnacentral:piRNA from 1 species